UUUUUUAUUUUUUGAGCCAUUUAGAUAUCAGGGGAAAUAUUUUUGUUGGCCUUCCUAAAAGUACCACUAGACUAUCUAAUUUGGAGUCUCUUCUUCUGAGUGGUUGCGCACAUCUUCGAUCUUUGCGGAGCUUCCAUUAAAUAGGUCAUCAGCUCACUAUUCCUGGAAAAGAAAUUUCGAAAUGGUUCACUCAUCAAAGCGUAGGGGCUUCAAUGAAUCUGCAAGUGCCUUCAAAUUUAUGUAAUAAAUUGAUGGGAGUCACUGUGUGCGCUAUUUUUGUACUCAGCCAGCAUCAUCCAUUUCCCCAACUUAAUUCAUUGUUUAUCUGGAGAAGUUAUAGAGCUACGCAUAGACUUCGGUGUUCAUUGAUAAGCGAUAGGUUUCGAUUCAUGUCUAGUGACUUUUGUUUUUCGGAAGAAUUUGGUGAGGUUGAAUCGUAUCCCUUAUUGCAGAAUUACUAUCCCAUUGUUCAAUCAUUCAAUGAGGAAUGGGAAGAAAAUUUGAGUCAAGCAGAUGUUGAUAUAUUCAGGCAGAUAUGAUUACCGGACUUUGUAGUUUAUUGGCGAGGAGAGAUUGUCGCAUUGCCAGGAGCUGAGAAGAUAUGUACAACAGAUAGUAAGCUCAUCAUUUUUGUUCACUUAAGUUGGAAGGUAAAAUCAAUACUCUUGUUGCUCUCUCGGUAUUUAAUACAAUUUUCCAACUCCAGUGUUGUAAAAUCAGAAGGAAAGAAGAAAAUUUGGGCCAAUUUUCACCAAAGAGGUUGUUUUCUCUCAGGCUAGCCAUGUGAUUUUUUUCCCCCACUGCAUCAACCAUUUCAAAGGUGAAUUGAUGUGGCUGUCCCAUAUAUACGGUGUGUUUCACUUACAGAUUGUUUGAUGCAGUUGCAUUUAAGCUUUUUAAUUGCUAGCUGUUGCCCAAUCUUGGCAGUGCAGUAAUGUAGGCUUUGUCUUAUAACAUCAUGAUGAUAUGCAGAGUUCAAGCAAACAGGAGGCCUGAAGUCGGAGCAGUUGUUAGUGUAGAUGGCAAGGGCCAUCAUUGGAUUGAUAGACUCAAGGAAUGCAUUGUCAUUGAUCAUGAACAAUAUACUUUUUCCCUCGUAAGUCGUAACCUGACUAGUUUGCUUCACAUCAGUUGGGAUGGACCAUGAUGAAGUUAGCGUGAUGUAGUUUGUAUUUUUCUUCUGCUUGUUGUGAAAUGCAUGUUAAUUAUGUAAUCACAUGUAAGAGUUGUACAAUCUGUCUUGCACAGAUAUUUCCAACCCUUUACCACAUUGAACUUAUACACAGAAGGUUGUAAUUAAAAUAGAGUAUUUUAAAAAUAAAAUAAAAUUGAAUUUCGGUGUCU